CGGGGUGUGGCGCAGCCUGGUAGCGCACUUGGUUUGGGGCCAAGGGGUCGGGAGUUCGAAUCUCUCCACCCCGA
rfam:Anaplasma marginale str. Florida, complete genome.